ACGAAGGGUGCAAGCGUUACUCGGAAUUACUGGGCGUAAAGGGUGCGUAGGUGGUUUUUUAAGUCUGCUGUGAAAUCCCCGGGCUCAACCUGGGAAUGGCGUUUGAAACUGGCAGGCUAGAGUUUGGCAGAGGGGGGUGGAAUUCCACGUGUAGCAGUGAAAUGCGUAGAGAUGUGGAGGAACACCGAUGGCGAAGGCAGCCCCCUGGGCCAAAACUGACGCUCAGGCACGAAAGCGUGGGGAGCAAACAGGA
rnacentral:rRNA from 1 species